rnacentral:rRNA from 1 species
GAACCUGAAACCGUGUACGUACAAGCAGUAGGAGCACCUUCGUGGUGUGACUGCGUACCUUUUGUAUAAUGGGUCAGCGACUUAUAUUCAGUGGCAAGGUUAACCGUAUAGGGGAGCCGUAGCGAAAGCGAGUCUUAACUGGGCGCUCAGUCUCUGGAUAUAGACCCGAAACCGGGUGAUCUAGCCAUGGGCAGGUUGAAGGUUGAGUAACAUCAACUGGAGGACCGAACCGACUAAUGUUGAAAAAUUAGCGGAUGACUUGUGGCUAGGGGUGAAAGGCCAAUCAAACUCGGAGAUAGCUGGUUCUCCCCGAAAGCUAUUUAGGUAGCGCCUCGGACGAAUACUACUGGGGGUAGAGCACUGUUAAGGCUAGGGGGUCAUCCCGACUUACCAACCCUUUGCAA